rnacentral:rRNA from 1 species
GUGUCAGCAGCCGCGGUAAGACGAACCGUGCGAACGUUGUUCGGAAUCACUGGGCUUAAAGGGCGCGUAGGCGGGCGACGAGGUCAGGGGUGAAAUCCCACGGCUCAACCGUGGAAGUGCCUUUGAAACCGGUCGCCUCGAGGGAGGUAGGGGCGUGCGGAACUUCCGGUGGAGCGGUGAAAUGCGUAGAUAUCGGAAGGAACGCCGGUGGCGAAAGCGGCGCGCUGGACCUCUUCUGACGCUGAGGCGCGAAAGCCAGGGGAGCAAACGGGAUUAGAAACCCCCGUAGUCC